ensembl:lncRNA
CCUCAAGGUAACACACACACACUGCUACAUCAUCCUCAAGGUAACACACACACACACACACACUGCUACAUCAUCCUCAAGGUAACACACACACACACACACACACACACACUGCUACAUCAUCCUCAAGGUAACACACACACACACACACACACACACACACACACACACACACACACACACACACACUGCUACAUCAUCCUCAAGGUAACACACACACACACACACACACUGCUACAUCAUCCUCAAGGUAACACACACACACACACACACACACACACACACACUGCUACAUCAUCCUCAAGGUAACACACAC